rnacentral:rRNA from 1 species
CCUAGUACGAGAGGACCGGAGUGGACGCAUCACUGGUGUUCGGGUUGUCAUGCCAAUGGCACUGCCCGGUAGCUAAAUGCGGAAGAGAUAAGUGCUGAAAGCAUCUAAGCACGAAACUUGCCCCGAGAUGAGUUCUCCCUGAGACUUUAGGUCUCCUGAAGGAACGUUGAAGACGACGACGUUGAUAGGCCGGGUGUGUAAGCGCAGCGAUGCGUUGAGCUAACCGGUACUAAUGAACCGUGAGGCUUAACCUU